rnacentral:ncRNA from 1 species
CUCUGAAACCUAGAGCCACAUGUCAGUUUAUAGAACCAUUUUGUGGGCAUAAAAUACAUCUGCGACAGAUAGUAGCACAGUUUGUGAAACUUGAAGCAGAGGUGAUUAAAGAAUAAAUUGGCUAAAAGGA